GUCCACCCGGGGCUGAACAGGACCUCUCCCCGCCUGAGGCCCGUCCACACGGGGCUGAACAGGACCUCUCCCCGCCUGAGGCCCGUCCACACGGGGCUGAACAGGACCUCUCCCCGCCUGAGGCCCGUCCACACGGGGCUGAACAGGACCUCUCCCCGCCUGGGGCCCGUCCGGGGCUAACCAGUACGUCUCGCCUUCCGGACCCCGUCCACACGGGCCUAAACGUCUGCGUAAGGGCUUCCCUCACCAACCCUCUGGCCCUGCGACGUUACCGGGGUCAAAACGCGACGGUUAAAUAAAGCAUCAUUAGCUUCAUGCGACCUGCCGCUGAGUUCCACCCGGGUCUGCUGGCGUGCGAUUGGACCAACACACUGUUUCCUCUCUUCUCCGCAGUUGUUUUCUGACACUCCAUCAGUCAUGGCCGCGAGCUCUUGUCAGGGUGGAGGCAACAAGCAGUGGAUGAAAACUCCAUGAAAACAUCUCUGAAGCUUGGGAGAAUUUCAUCAAUACUCAAUUAAAGACGGACUCCCUCCCUGACUACUGACCGGGACUUAGAUGUGUUUUUAUGAUGUAUCUUUUAUCGCGCACUCCUCCCGCUGGUGGGUCUGACUGCAGUAGCUGGUUGGGAAAUGGAAGCCAGUUAAACAACAUUAUCGUCAAACAGCCGUUCAGAGGGUCUUUGGUUUAAUACUGUGAUGUUACACUGGAUUGAUACAUGUGUGGUUUACACUGGUUUGAUACUGGUGCCUUUACACUGGGUUUAUACUGGUGUGUUUACACUGGGUUUAUACUGGUGUGUUUACACUGGUUUGAUACUGGUGUGGUUACACUGGUUGGAUACCGCUGUGGUUACACUGGUUUGAACUCGGGUGUUUACACUGGUUUUAUACUGGUGUGGCUACACUGGUUCGAUUCUUGUAGGUUGACACUGGUUUGAUACUGAUGUCUUUACACUGGUUUGUUACUGGGGUCUUUACACUGGUUUUAUACUUGUGUGUUUACACUGGUUUGAUACUAUUGUGGUUACACUGGUUUGAUUCUGGUGGGAUUAAACUGGUUUGAUACUGGUGGGUUUACACUGGUUUGAUACUGGUGGGUUUACACUGGUUUGAUAAUGGUGGGUUUACACUGGUUUGAUACUGGUGGGUUUACACUGGUUUGAUAAUGGUGGGUUUACACUGGUUUGAUACUGGUGGGUUUACACUGGUUGGAUACUGGGUCAGCGUUGUUUGGCAUCUGACAUUUUAGCAUGGAACCUUUUAUACUUUUUAAAUGAAAAAUCAUAACUAUACAAAUAUAAAUAUAUUGAUCAAAGGCAUUGCAGAAGAAGGGGAGGAUGAAUAUGAAUAUGUCAGAGAAACGUUUGUGUGAAGGAGAUUAUUCAUUUGUCCCAGCUGACCCUCAGCCCUUCUUGUUACUUUGAAUCAAACCAUAAAUGUAUCUAUAAUAUUUUUCCCUGCUGCCUGUUAUCCCCCAUGUUGACUGAAGUCUGGCAUUGAGUAACUCUCUUAAAAAUAUGUUUUUCCUCCACACCGCUUACAUUAUUUUGCAAUAACUCCAAAAAUGAGGACGGUUGAACUCACCUUUUCGAUAUCUCCUCAGACUGUUUGCAAAUCUGUUAUGGCAAUAACUUGUAGAACACAUUUUGUUUCCCUUCAUGCCACUUGUGUGCUAAGAACAAAACAACCUGUUGCUGUGCUUCUUUUAAUCUGCG
ensembl:lncRNA